AUUGAACGCUGGCGGCAUGCCUUACACAUGCAAGUCGAACGGCAGCACGGGUGCUUGCACCUGGUGGCGAGUGGCGAACGGGUGAGUAAUACAUCGGAACGUACCUUAUCGUGGGGGAUAACGCAGCGAAAGCUGUGCUAAUACCGCAUACGCCCUGAGGGGGAAAGCGGGGGAUCGCAAGACCUCGCGCGAUUAGAGCGGCCGAUGCCUGAUUAGCUUGUUGGUGGGGUAAAAGCCCACCAAGGCGACGAUCAGUAGCUGGUCUGAGAGGACGAGCAGCCACACGGGGACUGAGACACCGCCAGACUCCUACGGGAGGCAGCAGUGGGGAAGUUUGGACAAUGGGGGCAACGCUGAUCCAGCAAUGCCGCGUGAGUGAAGAAGGCCUUCGGGUUGUAAAGCUCUUUUGUCAGGGAAGAAACACCGGCUCUAACACAGUCCGGGAAUGACGGUACCUGAAGAAUAAGCACCGGCUAACUACGUGCCAGCCGCCGCGGUAA
rnacentral:rRNA from 1 species